rnacentral:rRNA from 1 species
GUAGAGGAUGCUUCUGGGCAGCGGCCGGUCUAAGUUCCUUGGAACAGGACGUCAUAGAGGGUGAGAAUCCCGUAUGCGACCGGCUCGCACCCGUCACGUAGCUCCUUCGACGAGUCGAGUUGUUUGGGAAUGCAGCUCUAAAUGGGAGGUAAAUGUCUUCUAAAGCUAAAUACCGGCCAGAGACCGAUAGCGCACAAGUAGAGUGAUCGAAAGAUGAAAAGCACUUUGGAAAGAGAGUUAAAAAGCACGUGAAAUUGUUGAAAGGGAAGGGCAUGCAACCAGACUUGUCGGCGGUGUUCCGCCGGUCUUCUGACCGGUUCACUCGCCGCCGACAGGCCAGCAUCAUCUGGGAGCGCCGGAUAAAGGCGUGGGGAAUGUAGCUCCUCGGAGUGUUAUAGCCCCGCGCACAAUACGGCGCCUCCCGGGUGAGGUCCGCGCUUCGGCUAGGAUGCUGGCGUAAUGGUUGCCUGCCGCCCGUCUUGAAACACGGACCAAGGAGUCUAACAUCUAUGCGAGUGUUCGGGUGUCAAACCCCUACGCGUAAUGAAAGUGAACGGAGGUGGGAACCCUUACGGGUGCACCAUCGACCGAUCCUGAUGUCUUCGGAUGGAUUUGAGUAAGAGCAUAGCUGUUGGGACCCGAAAGAUGGUGAACUAUGCCUGAAUAGGGUGAAGCCAGAGGAAACUCUGGUGGAGGCUCGCAGCGGUUCUGACGUGCAAAUCGAUCGUCAAAUUUGGGUAUAGGGGCGAAAGACUAAUCGAACCAU